UCUAUCAACCACUGGGCCUGACAGAGGCUGGCCCACUGGAGCCGGUGCCUUUGGAUGGGGGAGAAAACACAGCACAGGGCCCGCGCCGGCAGGUAGCUGUGUGAGUGGCGUGGUGGAUCUGCACAGAGAGGCAGAGGAGAGAGCUUCAUAAAGAAAAGAAUGAGGCACUAAAGUUCCAAGAGGCUAAAGAAACUUCCUCAAAGAUAGAAGCCUGUGAUUUGCACUUACUGAGGAUGCGCUCCAUGAGAUCAUUUUUCACCUUGCCAUCAGUGUGUACGGAAGUAAAUGCCGGACAAAGAGAGCUCUGUUUCCUGGAGGCUUUGCAGAACAAUGCAACACUAAAGGAGAACAAAUAAACGAACGUAACCAACAAAGAAACUAUGACAUCAUGGUACCCACGGCUCUUGAAUCAUCCUAGUUU